rnacentral:rRNA from 1 species
UACGAAAGGGGCAAGCGUUGUUCGGAUUUACUGGGCGUAAAGGGCACGCAGGCGGUCUUGCCAGUCAGGGGUGAAAGCCCGGGGCUCAACCCCGGAACUGCCUCUGAUACUGCAGGACUAGAGACUAGGAGAGGGUGGUGGAAUUCCCAGUGUAGAGGUGAAAUUCGUAGAUAUUGGGAGGAACACCAGAGGCGAAGGCG